UCCGGUUGAUCCUGCCGGAGGCCACUGCUAUCGGUUUCCGACUAAGCCAUGCGAGUCAUGGGGCCGCAAGGCACCGGCGCACGGCUCAGUAACACGCGGAUAAUCUAUCCUCUGGCGGGGGAUAACCUCGGGAAACUGAGGCUAAUACCCCAUAGACAUUCAAUUCUGGAAAGAUUGAAUGUUGAAAGCGCAAGUGCCAGAGGGUGAGUCUGCGGCCUAUCAGGUAGUAGGUGGUGUAACGGACCACCUAGCCUAAGACGGGUACGGGCCUUGAGAGAGGGAGCCCGGAGAUGGGUUCUGAGACACGAACCCAGGCCCUACGGGGCGCAGCAGGCGCGAAACCUUCGCACUGCGCGAAAGCGCGACGAGGGGAGACCGAGUGCCUCUCCUUUUUGGGGAGGCUCUUCGCAAGCCUAAAAAGCUUGUGGAAUAAGGGCUGGGCAAGACGGGUGCCAGCCGCCGCGGUAAUACCCGCAGCUCAAGUGGUGGUCGCUUUUAUUGAGCCUAAAACGUUCGUAGUCGGCCUUGUAAAUCCCUGGGUAAAUCGGGGCGCUUAACGUUUCGAAUUCCGGGGAGACUGCAAGGCUAGGGACCGGGCGAGGUCAGAGGUACUUUCGGGGUAGGAGUGAAAUCCUGUAAUCCCGAAGGGACCACCUGUGGCGAAAGCGUCUGACUUGAACGGCUCCGACGAUGAGGAACGAAGGCUAGGGGAGCAAACCGGAUUAGAUACCCGGGUAGUCCUAGCUGUAAACUCUGCCCGCUUGGUGUGGCUUGUACUUCGGGUGCAGGCUGUGCCGGAGCGAAGGUGUUAAGCGGGCUGCUUGGGGAGUACGGCCGCAAGGUUGAAACUUAAAGGAAUUGGCGGGGGAGCACCGCAGCGGGAGGAUGCGUGCGGUUUAAUUGGAUUCAACGCCGGG
rnacentral:rRNA from 1 species